UGAAGAAUUCAGAGAUAAUGAAAGACUCUCAUAUUUGAAACUAGGUUCUGAAAAAUAAAGUUAUUUGCACUAUUCUUACAAUUUCCCUAUAAACUUGAAAUUCUUAUUUCUCAAAAAGUAAAUCUGGUGGAAUAGGGAGAAUGAAGGGAUCAAGAAGGCAAACCUGGAGACAAAUUGCAAGGCUACUGCCCAGAUAAGAAAAAGAGAACAGGCAGGUUGGGAAGGAAAGAUAGAUUCAAGUGAUAAAAUUAAUGAAUUAUAUAUGGAAGAUAGGAAAAGGGGUUACUAAAGGUAACCCAACUUGAGCAGUUAAGUAAAUGCUUUUAUAGUCAGAAAGACUGAGGGAAUAAUAGGCUUCAGAAGACAUUCAAGAGUUCUAUUUCAGAUCUGUUAUAAUUGUACAUUAAACUCACUCCUUGUAAGGACUUUGGGAAUUACUAGUAUCAGUAGACAGUUGGUUCCACGUGUCUAGAAUUUAGAAGUCUGGGACAGAGGUACCCAUUUAGGAGUAGUAAAUUUAGGAGUCAUUGAGAUGGGUGAGAUCACCUACAGAGAAGGAGCAGACAUUAAAAGACUGUCCACAACUUAAACUGAUGACCUCCCACAUUUACAGAUCAUUGAGAGGUAGCUAAGGAGAUCUAUUAUGAUGGAACAAAUUUAAAUAAUGACUCAUCUGCCCCAGGCUUCUAAAAUGGGAUGCAGGAAGCACUGCAUAUUUCCUCAGAAGGCCAAUCAGAAUUCUGGGUUUGUUAGCACCUUUCUCAGGAAGUGCUCUCUGUUCUAAAUUUCCCGCAGUCUGCUCUGGCUGACCAUUCCUUCCUUACAGCAGCAUACUCCAUUGUAACAGAGGCCUAAAACAGGCUUUUCUCUAAAUCUGGUUUUAAAUUUGCAUAUAGAGUAUGCUCACGCCAUAAAAGAACUUUGGGAAUUACUUUUUCUCCUGGGACUCAUUAGAAACUUCCUGGGUUACCAACAGUAAGAAACAAGGCUUCCAGAGAGCCAUACAAUUGUAUACAUAUGAAAUUCCUUGUCAAGGACGCAGUGCCAUGCUGUAUCUAUUCAAGAAUAAACGGUGACCUCAGUGAUUCUUGUGGUUGGAAUUUUUCUUUUGUAAUCAACCAUAUUAUAGAAGACAUGGAUCGAGUUGGGAUGGAGACAGGAGGCGGAUGCCCUAGUGGGCAACUGGAAAGAACAACCAAAAGCAGAAAGCAAGCUAGAGAAGAGGGAAGGAAAAAACUCAAGAGCCUCAAAGUGAACACAGAAGCCAGGAUAUGGAGUAUUUUCUGUGACUAUCCUGGGAUACAGAACUACACUACAAAAGUGGGAAAGGAGUGACUGUAUCUACCUGGUAUAUACUGUGAGAUACCCUGCAACUGUCUUCAGUCACUUUAUUAUGUAAUAAUAUACUUAUCUGUGUAAUCAAUCAGUCUCCCUUACUUAUUUGUAAGUGCUACCACCAUAAUGUUCACCAUCAUAUCCCCGGUACCCAGUACAGCUCCUGGAUCUUGGUAAAUAUCCCUUAAAUAGUUGAUGAAUAAAUGUUUUU